GCCUCCUUACUCAGUCGCUCCUUCUUCCGCGGCGCAGAGCGGCUCCUGCCUGUGGUGAGGCGGCUCUCCACUUCCUGCAUGCAGGCGUGACCAGAGCUGCUGAUCAGCCUUUAUACCGCGAUUGUUUCAGCGACCAAGGGUCCAACUAAGAAAACAAAGAUCUUCCCGGUUCACUGACGCACCACAGAUGGCGGGAAAACUUAAAACCGGAGAAAUGAAGGAUAUCUUACAGCGAUUGAAUGAUAUAAACUCCUCACUUGAUUGCAGCGUUUCGAAGCUCGUCCAGAACCAGACUGAGCUGAGCAAAGCACUUGAGACCCAAAAAUGCCUCAAUAAGAGUCUAAAACCGCUGUAUGCUGCCUUUUCACCACAUGAAGACCCCAAUUCCAUCAAUCAGCAUUAAGUAAAAUGUUCACUUUGUUAACCUUCUUUCAAUAUAUCUGUUAAUACCAUGCAUUACAAUGUAUCAUAUUGUACAUUCUGAUAUAUAAUUUACAUAUAAACAUGAGUUUGGUAAAAAUGUA